CUCACGCUCCGAGCUGGGCAGCCUAAAGCGAAGGCUAUGGCCGCUCAGCCGGGGUGCAGCCGGAAACAGCUGCGCCUUCCAUUUUGAAAAGGAGUAAGC
rnacentral:ncRNA from 1 species